UUUUGUUAAAAUUUUUCACAUUUUCACAGAUUCUGCAAGUGGUUCACAAACUUUCAAGUGGCACUGUAUAUGUUAUGAGAAUACUAAAGCCUGCAGAUAGGGAGUACAUGUUAUUUAAGGAAAAUAUAAUUAUAUUUUCAGAAUGACACAUUUUUUUUUCAAACAUAGUCUGAAAACGCCCCCUUCCCACUAUCAUCAUUUCUGUAGUUACUCUGUUAUGCACAACAAAUUCUUUGUUUUUCAAUCAAAUGUAAUCUAACUAGGUGGUUGAAUAAAAAUAUUUGGACUUUACAUUUAAAAAUUACCGCAUCAGGUAACUAGUUAGCUAGCCAGUUAGCAUCAGCUAACAAUAUUUUUCAAAUAAGAUAUUAUAAUUUAGUAAAUCAUAAUUAUUGAUUAUAUUCUUUUUAAUUUUAAGCUAAAACUGCUUGUACUCUGAUUUUGCUGUACAUUUAUAAAGCAAUUUGCUUUGUCAGACUGGGGGCAUUUUACCCCACCUGUGGGGCAAAACGCCCCCCUUGGUACAAAAAAUCUAAUAACAUGAAAACUCUGGACAUUUUUCAUACUUGGUUUCUAAUUUAUGUCAUUGCCACUAAAACUAUGAUAGCUAUUCUGGAUCAUUUUAACUUUUGUUUCACAGAAAAAAAUGACAAAGUCCUUAAGGGGGGCUCACAUAAAAUGGGGGAUUCAGAACACAGUAAAAUGUGCUCAAAGUAGUAAAACUUGAUUGGAUAUUAUUCUUGUGGGUUGGAAUUAAUUGUGAUAGCAAAGCAUUUUAUCUGCUGUUUUUCUUUAGAGAAAUUGAUGUAGAAUGUGAUAAGGUUGGUGAUGUCUGAACUUCUCUCUUCUGUUAUUUUAAAAAUAAUUUUGGUCUGAUGUAAACAGCUGCAGAGAUAACGCAAGGUCAAUCCGCCAACACAACAUUAGGGUUAUCGAAAUUUUACCCCUCUCUAUUUUCACAAAGACACCCAUGCCUGUCCCAUGUCUCCUCUAUUCUAGAUUCUAGAAUUUCAAGAAUGUUAUUUAUUAUUAUUGUUUUGUCAGCGUUUUUUAUUUUAUUAUUAUUAUUAAGUUGUUUUUAUUAUUAUUUUAUUUUAAUUGACAUUUAAAUACGUUUUCACGCUUUCAGUUUCAGAUAAAAGUCUUAUGUUUGGACGUUGCUAUUAGCGCCCGUUGUGACCAAUAACCAACAACAAAUGAUCUGUAGGCCAAUAUGAGAAUCAAAGUGGAAAGGCAAGAGAAGCAUAUGUCACACCGUGCUUUUCAGAUUUUUUUCAAGUCGUGUCAUCACUGAAGAGGAGAACUGCAGUGGUGUCUUUGAAAAAUCAUCAGAUGAGGUCGAUCAAAGAGCGUCCCACCUGCACAUGGUGCGUGAGGUCAAUGCAUCAAAGCACACUGACUCUUGGCGAUCAGACUAAAUCCAUUUAUUCUACAACACACGCAGAGCAUCUCUCCACCACCCCAGCUCCUACUCUCAACUCUCCCUAUCCCAGGAUAAGGAUAUAGGGGAGAGUACUCUGGGUUCGAGCCAAAUUCCAAGCUUGGAGCCCUCCCCUUGGACAACAUGCCAAAUAUGUAUACUCUCUACUCUAUCCGAAUUAUAUGUAGGCCUAAGUGUGAACUUGUGAAGUGAGUUUUAUUCAUACAGAGCCAAACAUAGCCAUAGUUGGAGACGAAUGAAAGAAAAUUGCACUCGUAAUGACACUAUUUCAAAAUUUCAUAUUAGAAAACUGUAUCACUAAUAAAUCCAUGUGAAAGUUUAUUCUAAAUGAAUAAUGUUGGUGACAGUAACUACAGUUUAAGUACUGUUUCUUAAAGAGCUUUUCUGGGAGAGGACGUGAUGGUCAAGCACUGGUCUUUUUGCCCCAAGAUCCAUGUUAUCCUUCUCAGCAUAAUAGAAAGCUGGACCUCAGUAACAUACAUGUGACACAAGCACAGACACACUCCAGAGAUGUACAUGGCCCAAAGGACAUCAUACCAGUAAGCCUGAAGUGUUUAUCCAGAGUGUAUUUGUCUAUUUUUAAUGCAGUAGGCCUAGUGAAUCUUUGCAGUAGCGAUACUGAACCUACAGUGUAUGUAAGGUUUAAGAAUCUACCUAAAAACACAUUGUUGAACUGCGCAAUGUACCUAAUUAUUUUUAAGCUGUCGUGUAUGUGUACAGCAUCAUGUCCUACACAGAGUGGGGGUACAGAACAGGGCACAGAACCGUGAUGGUUUUGUGAUGAAAGAGGUCACCAACCCCACUGAGGCCACAAUGUACCAGACCACAUAUCAAACAGUGCACUCCACUUCCAGCAGAUAUCAAACAAAUGAAUCAAGCGGACAACCUGUCUCCUGGCACAGGCAUAACAUCAUCACAGGAGAGGAGAAGACCUCAGCGGGGCCUAUGCGGCCCAGAAGACAGUCUGGGGAGAGCGUUCUGUGGGCAGCGCGGCGCUGGGAGACACAUUGCAACUUCGUUUGUACUGAACCUCUCAGCUAGAAAGUCACAACACCAAUAAAAUGUUCUCAAAAUUGGA